rnacentral:sRNA from 1 species
AUCUUGGGAUCCGGAGAGUGGCCGGGCCGGCAGAGCAGAGGGCCGCGGACACCAGGUCUGUUCUCAGAGCGAUGGGCUGCGGAGACUGAUCUGCCGCCAUGAUUGGAGGCUUAUUCAUCUAUAAUCACAAGGGGGAGGUGCUCAUCUCCCGAGUCUACCGAGAUGACAUCGGGAGGAACGCAGUGGAUGCCUUUCGGGUCAAUGUUAUCCAUGCCCGGCAGCAGGUGCGCAGCCCCGUCACCAACAUUGCUCGCACCAGCUUCUUCCACGUUAAGCGGUCCAACAUUUGGCUGGCAGCAGUCACCAAGCAGAAUGUCAACGCUGCCAUGGUCUUCGAAUUCCUCUAUAAGAUGUGUGACGUGAUGGCUGCCUACUUUGGCAAGAUCAGCGAGGAAAACAUCAAGAACAAUUUUGUGCUCAUAUAUGAGCUGCUGGAUGGUGAGGCUGGCGGGCUGGCACGGCAGCGGGCGUAGGGUGGGAAAAAACCAGGCUGGGCCUGGCCUGAAGAGAUUCUAGACUUUGGCUACCCACAGAAUUCCGAGACAGGCGCG